UGUUGGAAAUGUGCCCUAAAACCAAUCAUAUGAUGAUAUUUUACGGACAUUUCACAUGUUAAACUAAUCUAGUUUAAUAUCAAGGGCAAAGAUUAUUGUUUUAAGCCGUCUCAUAUAAAUGUUAUAUGCUUAAACGAUAUGUCCAAGGAAUAUGUAAUUGGGAGAAUGUAAUUUAAACAAGUUAAAUUAAUGAGACCAUUCUCUUUCGUAUACAUAUCCUAAACAUUCCUGAUCAUAGGAUUGCCAAUUGGGCAUUGACAGUCCAUUAAGAUCAGUACAUGCUAUGUCUUCUCUUAGGGAGAGUGACUAGUCUCGAGUCAUUGGUGUGAUUGACACCAAGACAAGCAUGUAGGUGCUCAAUAGAGAAUGAGUUCACUGAACACGAUCAACGAAGAGUUCUCAUAUUCAUGU
rnacentral:lncRNA from 1 species